GGGUGGAUUAGUGGCGAACGGGUGAGUAAUACGUGGGUAACCUGCCCUCCUUUUUGGGAUAAGCCUUGGAAACGGGGUCUAAUACCGAAUAUUCUGGCGCUCUCGCAUGGGGGUGUUGGGAAAGCUUUUGUGUGAAGGGGGAUGGGCUCGCGGCCUAUCAGCUUGUUGGUGGGGUGAUGGCCUACCAAGGCGGUGACGGGUAGCCGGCCUGAGAGGGUGACCGGCCACAUUGGGACUGAGAUACGGCCCAGACUCCUACGGGAGGCAGCAGUGGGGGAUAUUGCACAAUGGGCGAAAGCCUGAUGCAGCGACGCCGCGUGGGGGAUGAAGGCUUUCGGGUUGUAAACCUCUUUCGCUAUCGAACAAGGCCCGACUUAGGGUGGC
rnacentral:rRNA from 1 species